GAAGAAAUGAAAGGAAGAGGAAGAAUGAAAAAGAGAAAUCAAGAGAGAGAGAGAGAGAUGGAAAGAAAAGAAUAGAUAGAAUAACAUGAAUGAAGUGGAUGUAGAAAUUGGAUCGAGUGAUGCAAUUGCCGUGAUUCGUACCUCUAAUCUUCAAUUAAUGCACGCAGGGUGUUCGAGAGUGUGAAUUAGUGUGAUACACAUUUCCGAUGAGGCGCAAUGAGGCGCAAUUUAAGUAAUUGCGGGAAAUCGUGCGAAGGGUCGCGUGUAGCCUUUCUUUUAUCGGAGUCGACUUAGCGAGUCGAGGUGGGUUCCGAGUCGUCGAAAACAGCGAAUUUCCUCCUAUGUCUAUUUUGGGGUCGUAUAUUGGCGGUUGAUCUAGGUGAGGGGGAUUGCGCAGUAGUUAGCAUCUCCUAGGGCCACCAGAUAGAGUGCUAUCUUUGUUCAACCUGCUUGUACUGGCGAGGGUCUGGAUUGUUUUCGUAUACUUUCCUUUGUAGUUAAAGUUUAUUUGGUGAUAUUCGUGUUGUACGGCAACUUAGUUGAGAAAUUGCGCACUGAUACAUGCCAUUUGUUUA